rnacentral:rRNA from 1 species
GACGAACGCUGGCGGCGUGCCUAAUACAUGCCAGUUGAGCGCUGAAGGUUGGUACUUGUACCAACUGGAUGAGCAGCGAACGGGUGAGUAACGCGUGGGGAAUCUGCCUUUGAGCGGGGGACAACAUUUGGAAACGAAUGCUAAUACCGCAUAAAAACUUUAAACACAAGUUUUAAGUUUGAAAGAUGCAAUUGCAUCACUCAAAGAUGAUCCCGCGUUGUAUUAGCUAGUUGGUGAGGUAAAGGCUCACCAAGGCGAUGAUACAUAGCCGACCUGAGAGGGUGAUCGGCCACAUUGGGACUGGGACACGGCCCCAACUCCUACGGGAGGCAGCAGUAGGGAAUCUUCGGCAAUGGACGAAAGUCUGACCGAGCAACGCCGGGGGAGUGAAGAAGGUUUUUGGAUCGGAAAACUCUGUUGGUAGAGAAGAGCGUUGGUGAGAGUGGAAAGCUCAUCAAGUGACGGUAACUACACAGAAAGGGACGGCUAACUACGUG